GGGCACUUAGCUCAGUGGUAGAGCGCUGCAUUCACAUUGCAGAUGUCAGGGGUUCAAAUCCCUUAGUGCCCA
rfam:Microgenomates (Daviesbacteria) bacterium GW2011_GWA2_42_7 TV41_C0004, whole genome shotgun sequence.